UUCCGGAAGAAACUUCUGUCAUGAAUCAGAUAAUACUAACCUGCUUAAUAGGAAUGAGGAAUAUAUUUUGGGUUGACCUUGAGCACAUCUUUGUAGGAGAGAUGUCAAACUUCAACGCUAAAAAGACUGUGUUGCCCGUAAUCUCUGUUGGAAGACAAUAUUGAUUUGUUUAUCUUGUGUCCCUUGUGCACUUAUGAUAAUUCCCUUUCACUACCUGGCUGAUUGAGUCUUUCAUUUGCCUCCAAAAUGAUAUAUCAAUCACUGUGAAACGUCUGGGGAUUUUUUUCACUGUUACCCAUCAAUCAUAUGUAGUCCAUUACUUAGAAUUUCUCAUGGCUUAUAUGCUUGUGGUGCUAUGGUAGAAUAGAUGAUGUCCAUUUUUUGUAGAAGAGAUUUUGGAUUUUUUCCAUUUUCCACCAGAUAGAUUUUAUGAUUGGUCAUUAACAAGGGAACUUUAUUCGAUUUUUCUGUGAAAUUUGAUGUCGUAAAAAGAUUCAUAGGUUACAAUCAUCCCUUUUCUUGUUUUCAUUGUUCUUUUGGGUUGAGGCUACUGGUGGGGUCAUAAAAUGCUUCAUGAUGAGUGCAAAGCAGUGGAAUAAGGAGUGUGAAGGUAGGAAAAUUUCUGUGAGUGCUGCAAGAAAUUGUGGAAAUAAAUGUACAAAUAAUAUUGUGCUGAGGACCACUCAAUACUUGUCUGAGAGAAUGGAAUAUGCGGUGAUUCUGUUGAAAAAUAUGGCUAGAUGAUCUUGUUAAUGACAGCUAAGCAGACCACUAUACCUUCUAUUUUCUGUCUGCUCUGUGGUUGUGCAGAUUGUAUUGCCUCUUUUAAACCUACAAUUUUGCCUUCUUUUAUGGUUCAAUCACCAUUCUGUUACAGUACCAUGAUGCCCCCGAUAUGCCAUUUAUCAUUACAUAAUCUUUUCUUUAGUUGUGUCGUGCUGCUAUACUUUCCUCAUUGAUUACUUACAUGUUCAGUUUUAUGCAGCCAAAUUGUUAUUCAAGAGUGAUAAGUAUAAACAGUGAUGAGCAUAUCGUCAUAUUUGCCAAAAGAGAUAUCAAACAGUGGGAGGAAUUGACAUAUGAUUACAGGUUUUUUUCAAUGGAAGAGAAACUUGCUUGUUACUGUGGCUUUCCAAGAUGUAGAGGUGUUGUGAAUGACACUGAAGCCGAGGAACGAGCCACAAGCUUAUAUGCACCUCGUGGUGAAUUGAUAGAUUGGAGAGGGGAAUGAGAAAGGUCAGCUAGUCUGUAACUAAAAAGUAGGACGUGGUGUUUGAAAGAAGAGACUGGUGAAGUCUUGGCGGAAAAGCAACAAAAAACUAUGAGCACUAGAUUUAUUUUAUGCAAGAUUCAUUUUCUUUAAUUCAAGAACCUUUGAAAUUUUUCAUUAGUGGAGUUUUGACUGAACGAUGAGUAUGAAGUUGUAAUGUCAUGGAUAUGAUAUGGUUUUGGGUAAUAAUUUGGUUAGGUUUUGAUUUUUGUAUUGUUCUA